rnacentral:rRNA from 1 species
GAUGAACGCUGGCGGCGUGCCUAAUACAUGCAAGUCGAACGAACAGGCGGGCUGCUGUCUGGCCGGACGUGAGGGGCGGGCGGGUGAUGUACACGUGGAUACCCUAUCGAGGAGGCUGGGAAAACUUCGGGAAACCUGAUCCAAUACCGGAUCAACAGUUGAACCACAGGGAUCAUUAGUCAUAGGCGGCUUUGCCCGUACUAUAUCGUAGUUCCUCGUCGGAUCAGUUAGUUGGUAAGGUAACGGCUUACCAAGGCAACGUUCCGUAGCCGACCUGAGAGGGUGACCGGCCACACUGGAACUGAGACACGGUCCAGACUCCUACGGGAGGCAGCAGUGGGGAAUUUUGGGCAAUGGGGGAAAGCUUGACGGAGCAACGCCGCGUGAGUGAUGAAGGUCUUCGGUUCGUAAAACUCUGUUAUUAGGAAAGAAAAGAUGUGUAAGUAAAUAUGCACGUCUUGACGGUACCUAAACAGAAAGCCACGGCUAACUACGUG